rnacentral:rRNA from 1 species
AGCGAACGCUGGCGGCAGGCUUAACACAUGCAAGUCGAACGCAUCCUUCGGGGUGAGUGGCAGACGGGUGAGUAACACGUGGGAACGUACCACUUUGUUCGGAAUAGCUUUUUGAAACGAAAGGUAAUACCGGAUCCGCCCGUUUGGGGAAAGAUUCAUCGCAGAGAGAUCGGCCCGCGUCUGAUUAGUUAGUUGGUGAGGUAAUGGCUCACCAAGGCGACGAUCGGUAGCUGGUCUGAGAGGAUGAUCAGCCACACUGGGACUGAGACACGGCCCAGACUCCUACGGGAGGCAGCAGUGGGGAAUAUUGGACAAUGGGCGCAAGCCUGAUCCAGCCAUGCCGCGUGAGUGAUGAAGGCCUUAGGGUUGUAAAGCUCUUUUGUCCGGGAAGAUAAUGACUGUACCGGAAGAAUAAGCCCCGGCUAACUUCGUGCCAGCAGCCGCAGUAA